rnacentral:lncRNA from 1 species
AGGACACUGAGUCUGAAGUAAAGUGACUUGCCCAGGGUCACACAGCCAUUAACAAAGAGGGGCUUCUUUGACAGUUGAUGACUAGUGGAGCUAUUUAUGCCUAUGGUGCUGAGCCCCAGGAGGCAAUGGGGUCUAGAGCACUGGACUUGAAGGUCCAGCCCCUGCGGCUCACCUGUAGGAGUUCAGGCAAAUCCCUUGGUCUCUCUGAGCCUCAGCUUCUGCAUGUGUAAAGUAAGGUUCAUAAUGAUAAUUCAGAUUUAUUUUUUGGUCCAGGCCAGUGAUUUGGUUGGUUUGGGGAACUCCUAGUAUAUACACUCUCCGCUUCUCUAAAUCUGCAGGUCACUUGAAACUUAGGGUCCAAGAGAAUCACUGAUUGCACUGAUAAGUUGAGUGACUUGUCCAGGGUCACACAGCCACAAUGGGUCAGAGGCAAGAGGUGUGAACUUGCUUUCAUCUGACUCCAAAGCUGGCUUUCUAUCCACCACCCCAUCUUGUUUCUCAUACUUAGGUAGCACUUCAUAAGACUAUUGGAGGAAAUCAGAUGAGGAACAGAAUAGAAUAAUGGAUAGUGUACCUAAUUUGGAAUCAGAAAGAUCUGGGUUUAAAUCUUGACUUAGAUACUUAGCUGUGUAAUCCUGAGCAAGUCACUCAAUUGUUCUCUGCCUCAGUUUCCUCAGCUGUAAAAUGCGGGAGUCAGAUUCAGUGGCUUUGCAUUUCCAAAUGAAAGCUGCAUCCCUAGUUAUUUGUCCUUCCCACCCUGGCUCACCUCUGUGAUCUGCUGAAUGAGAGGUAUCUGUGUUGGGGAUGGAGGUCAUGACCACCCUCAUUACGCCUCCAGCUGUGGACCCCUCACCUGACUCAGCUCCUCUUUGUUGCAGGAUUGUUGACCUUUGUGCUGCCAGCCCUGGGCCUCACAGGUGUGGGCAUCACCGACAGUUCUGUGGCCUCAUACCUGAUGAGCUGAUCAGCAGGGAUGAAUGGUGGUGUUGUGCCAGCCAGUGGACUUGCCGCCAUCCUAGAAAGCCUUGGACCUGGGGUGAACACCACUAUGCCAGCUUGGUGUGGGAGCCAAGACUAGCUAUGAGGUCCAUCAGAAUUUCAUAUGCCAAAAGAAGUGUGAGAAUGAAGGGGUGAGUAGGAGCAGAUGUCUACCACUAACUCUGACCAGACAAUCAGAGUCCAUGUGAACCUUGCUGACCAGCAAGGAAAUGGGCUUAGCUUUCUGGAUGAAUAAACUGAAU